rnacentral:rRNA from 1 species
UACGUAGGGUGCAAGCGUUAAUCGGAAUUACUGGGCGUAAAGCGUGCGCAGGCGGUUCGACAAGUCCGAUGUGAAAGCCCCGGGCUCAACCUGGGAAUGGCAUUGGAAACUGGCGAGCUUGAGUGUGGCAGAGGGGGGUGGAAUUCCACGUGUAGCAGUGAAAUGCGUAGAGAUGCGGAGGAACACCGUUGGCGAAGGCAGCCCCCUGGGCUGACACUGACGCUCAGGCACGAAAGCGUGGGGAGCAAACAGG